rnacentral:snRNA from 8 species
AAAUUGGAUCGAUACAGAGAAGAUUAGCAUGGCCCCUGCGAAAGGAUGACACGCAAAUCCGUGAAGCGCUCCUUAUUUUC